rnacentral:rRNA from 1 species
AAAGGCCUGCAGCUUGCUGCGGGUACUCGAGUGGCGAACGGGUGAGUAACACGUGGGUGAUCUGCCUUGCACUUCGGGAUAAGCUUGGGAAACUGGGGUCUAAUACCGGAUAGGACAGCUGUUUAGUGUCAGUUGUGGAAAGUUUUUUCGGUGCAAGAUGAGCUCGCGGCCUAUCAGCUUGUUGGUGGGGUAAUGGCCUACCAAGGCGUCGACGGGUAGCCGGCCUGAGAGGGUGUACGGCCACAUUGGGACUGAGAUACGGCCCAGACUCCUACGGGAGGCAGCAGUGGGGAAUAUUGCACAAUGGGCGGAAGCCUGAUGCAGCGACGCCGCGUGGGGGAUGAAGGCCUUCGGGUUGUGAACUCCUUUCGACAGGGACGAAGCGUAAGUGACGGUACCUGUAUAAGAAGCACCGGCUAACUACGUGCCAGCAGCCGCGGUAAUACGUAGGGUGCGAGCGUUGUCCGGAAUUACUGGGCGUAAAGAGCUCGUAGGUGGUUUGUCGCGUCGUCUGUGAAAUUCCGGGGCUUAACUCCGGGCGUGCAGGCGAUACGGGCUGACUUGAGUGCUGUAGGGGAGACUGGAAUUCCUGGUGUAGCGGUGAAAUGCGCAGAUAUCAGGAGGAACACCGAUGGCGAAGGCAGGUCUCUGGGCAGUAACUGACGCUGAGGAGCGAAAGCAUGGGUAGCGAACAGGAUUAGAUACCCUGGUAGUCCAUGCCGUAAACGGUGGGCGCUAGGUGUAGGGGGCUUCCACGUCUUCUGUGCCGUAGCUAACGCAUUAAGCGCCCCGCCUGGGGAGUACGCCGCAAGGCUA